GACGAACGCUGGCGGCGUGCUUAACACAUGCAAGUCGAACGGAAAGGCCCUGCUUUUGUGGGGUGCUCGAGUGGCGAACGGGUGAGUAACACGUGAGUAACCUGCCCUUGACUUUGGGAUAACUUCAGGAAACUGGGGCUAAUACCGGAUAGGAGCUCCUGCUGCAUGGUGGGGGUUGGAAAGUUUCGGCGGUUGGGGAUGGACUCGCGGCUUAUCAGCUGGUUGGUGGGGUAGUGGCUUACCAAGGCUUUGACGGGUAGCCGGCCUGAGAGGGUGACCGGCCACAUUGGGACUAAGAUACGGCCCAGACUCCUACGGGAGGCAGCAGUGGGGAAUAUUGCACAAUGGGCGGAAGCCUGAUGCAGCAACGCCGCGUGCGGGAUGACGGCCUUCGGGUUGUAAACCGCUUUCGCCUGUGACGAAGCGUGAGUGACGGUAAUGGGUAAAGAAGCACCGGCUAACUACGUG
rnacentral:rRNA from 1 species